CUUCUUCCUUACAGCCUGUGCUUGCAGCACUGGUUGUUGCUAGGUGGAAGUGGUGUCAGCCCAGAGUCAUCCUGCCCAAGAUCCCCUCAUGUUUGCAGGGGUGCAUCCCUGAGAUGGAGCACUCCAGGCCACCUCCUGGCAUUGUGCUCCUGAGCCUCAUCCACAGCAUUGGCAAACUGUUUCCUCGAGGAGACAAUUGAUAAAGCUGAUGAAAAGGGAUCUAAAUUCCUCAUCAGGCUCAAGCUCUGAAAAGCUGGAUUUCCGCAGCACAGCGCAAAGUGCAGCCAUAUGAAAGGUUGAAAAAUAUAUGUAUAUGAAUACAGAAAGAAAGGAAUGCACGGCACAGCCUUUGCAACGUGCAGGCUGCAGCAAGUGGUGAUUUCAGCAUCUUUCUUCCACCCCUGUGCAGAAUACCAAAAAAGAACAUCUCUUUCAUCACCAGUGCAAUUACGGAGUAAUUCCCACGUUGGUGUUGUUCCAGACCAUCUGAUCCCAGCCUCUGGAAGUCCUUCCUGCUGGAAAGCAGCAGUCCCUGUAUGAACUACGAGCACGGUUGAGUCGGAAGUCACCUUCAUAACAGCUUUGAUGUUUCAACGCUUUUUACAGGAGAUGAGAUUUGAUAACCUGCUUCCUGACCUGUGGAUAGAGAGCAGAAUGAAACCCAAAUUCUUGAGAGAGUAACCAAACACCUCUGGGAAGAGCCGCAGAACAGUCGGGCUGAUUUGUAGGGCCGUGGGUUUGCCAGGAAACCUCCCUGAGCUAUUACUUUAAAUUGCCACUAAGUGGCAGCCAAGUAAAAAUUAUGGUAAAAUGAAACUUUCCCAAAUAAAUAUUUCAUCUAACGUCAGCGCAAGGUGCAGCAGCAUCAACAGAAUUCCUGAGCCGUGUGGUGCCCGGGAAGCUACACCAAGGGAGGAGAUGGCAAUAAGAGGGAUCUGUGGGAAUCCAUGUGGGUUUUCCUUGGGAGGAGCACAGUGUGCAGCAUGGUGUGCUUCCUGACUUGUUACAGAACCACAGAAUC
rnacentral:lncRNA from 7 species